GGAAUGAAAGCAUUAACAAUGAUAAAUAUGAAAUGAACAAAAUCACUCUGAAAAAACAUUAAAAUUUCAAUAUCAUAAAUGUGAACUUGUACUGAACAAAGCCAAACGCUCAUCCCCAAUCUCCUCCAAAGUUCCAAACCACGACCACCAAUCUCCUAAUCGCUUUUCCUCCUCUUCUUCUUGCUCUCCUGUUCCUCCCAGUGCUUCAUUCCUCCCUCUUCUUCCUCUCCCUCCUCUCCUCAAAUUCCAAACUACUCCUCUCCUCUCUCUCGUUCUUCUUGUGACCCUCAUUGUCUCGUUUAUGCGUGCGGCUGGAUUUUGAGCCUUUCAGCUCUCUGUGGAGUUGAGUUAACUCGUUGAACGCCUCCACAGUGCGGCCAAGGUAGGCGGCGACGGCCUGGGAGGCUCCGGUCUCGGCGGCCACGAAGGUUGUGAGAACUGAGGUUGCUUUCGAGAGAGAGAGAGAUUGGACCGGAAGACGUUACUCUUCCUGAACUCGUCUUCAUCUUUUAGGUUCGGUUAAAUUGCUUUUCAAAUUCUUUUCCUCCUCCUUUUCUUCUUUUUUGUUUUUGCUUCCUUCUUUGUUUUUUCCCACACUUUCUCAUCAACCAAACGCUAGAGUGGAACAAAGUUUCCCUUCAGGUUUUAAACUUCAAUACCCCCAAAUCCAAGCCCACUACGGGAAUAUCAUCUAAACCCGAAUUGGGCUGGACCGGGUCAGGUCGAAGCGGGUCACAUCCAUUUCUAAUUUUAGAUAAAAAAUUAAUUCCUAAUAAUUGAAUGUAAUUUGAUAACUAUUUAAUUAAAUUUAAUAAAAAUUAUUAAACAAGUAUUUGGUAGUAAAAAAAAUUAUUAUUCUAAAUGUGAAGUUUAUGAACCUUGAUCACAUAUAAAAUAUUUAUUUUUUAUAUUCAUUAUUUUCAAAUCAAUUAUUAUUUAUUGUGCUUGUUAGUGAAUUAGAUAAAGAAUUUCUUACUUAUUUUCUUUGGUAAUAACCUUGAUUACUUAAAGCCUAUGUUGAUAUAAUAUCAAAUACGAACAAAGAUGAGAUUAUGAAAAAAAAAAAAAUCAAUAUAUAAAAAUUCGAAUGUUUUUAUAAAACCAAAUAUAAACAUAAGAGGACAUAUCGCUAUUAUUUUUAUUAGAUAUAAUAUUCCAAGAUAAUAUAUUCUAUUAAAAAUAAUAUUUAUAAUACAUAUAAUGAGAUAUGAUAACUUAAAUUGUACAUAUUUUAUCCGAUUCAACCAAUUAAACCUAGGUUAAUUUUUUUUAAAUGUAAUAAUAAUAAUGAUGUUUUAAAAAAGUGAAACACAUUUUGGUUACACUUUUAUUUUAAUUUUUAAUUAAAAAUAAUUUUCAAAAUCAUUUAUAAAUAACAUGUUUUUACCAUUAGUUUUUAAAUAUGAUAGCAAAAAUUUAAAAUAAAGGUAUCAAAAUUUCUUUCAUUUGCCUCGUAGAGUGGUAAAAAAUUGUUGACCACUUAUUAAUCUUCUCAUGUCAUAAAAAAGUAUAUAGUACAAAAUAGGUGUAACAAAAAUGAAAAUUGUCACUUUGACAAUAAUUAUAUCAAAUCAAAUUAUGGUAUGUGUUACAUGGACCCCACACAAAAGUAGAUAAUUUGUCUUCAAAUUAAUAUAGAAAUAAAGAAUUAUGAUAAUUAAAAUAUAAUUAUCAAAAUAAAUAAAAUUGGUGAGUUUGAUAAGUGAAAUAGUAAAUAUCAAUUCUUGUUAAUAAAUAAAAUUGGUGCAUUUGAUAAAUGAAAAAAUAAGUAUUAAUUCUUUUUGUAUUAAUAAAUAAAAUUGAUAAGUUUGAUGAAUAAAAAGGGAAAUAUCAAUUCUCAUUAAACAAACAAAUCAAAGUCUAUCUAAAUAUACUUUUCAACUUUCUUAAAUAUUAAUUUUUAAUUAAAGAAUAAUAUUUUGAGGGUUAAAACUAUUCCACUAUGCCUCAAAAUCUUUCUAAAUAUUUACUUUGGUCAAGAAAUAACAUUUGUAAGAAAUAAGAAAAACUAUUCAAAUAUGGCUCUCUUAACCAAUAAAUAUAAAAGCCUAACUUUCAAAAUCACAUAGGACAAAUAAGAAGAGACUUCACACUUGAGAAAACUUGAAGAUAGUUCACUUCAAGGAUUUAAGGAGUUUUUCAAGCAUUUGAAGAUUAGAAGAUUUGAAGAUUCAAAGAUCAAGCAUUUGAAGAUUUGAAGAUUAAGUUUAAGGGGUUUUCAAUUUGAGAUCAAGCAUUAUGUUCUUGGUGAACAUGAGCUACAUGAAAGUCUAAGCCCAAUCUAAGACACGUUAAAGUCUAAAGGAAGAUAAACGAGUUCUCCUAUCAAAUAAAUUGAAAAAUCUUCAAGAUAUACCCUUAUACUUUAUUAUGUACCUAAGUCUAGAGAAAAAGGACAAUCCUCUUUUGUAGUGUAACAUAGCCUCAAUAAAGGAUUUUGAAGGUUUAAUUGUUUCACUCACAAAGUUGGUUGUUUCAAAGCCUUCAAAACCUUCUCUAAAAGGGUUUGUUAAACUCUCAUAAGAUCACAAAGUAGAGCAUAGAAAACAUCCCAUGAAGUGUAAUGAGGAAAGGAUUUGAUCCUAAUGCCUAUAAGUUACUAGUCGAAGUAGUCUUCAACUAAUAAAAAUUUGUCACAUUAGGAAAACACUUGAUCUUGGUUAUUGGAGAAAGAUUGUAAGGGUUCAUUGAAACUUAAAAGAUACUAAUAGAGAAGGGUAUGAGGUAAAAAACUCAAAGGCUGGUCUGGGAUUUGUUCUAACUCCUUCAUGCAUAUCAAUAAAAAAAGUGAGCACAAAGCCAUAUCAAAACUGAAGUAGAUAUGAAGGAUAUAAUCCAACUUUAAGCACUAGGAAAUCUCUCUUUGACAGAAUUAGUAAAACUUCAACUCGGAUGUCAAUCUUUGAUAACUUAGGGGAUAAAAAGAAAAACUUUCUACUAAAAGAUGACAAGGUUCUAUUUAUUCUAGAUUGGGGCCUAAACUAAAGAGAGACUAGGUUGAUCCAUAAAGAUACCAACUAUUACUCUCAAAGAUUCCAAUAAUCCUAAAGUAAGAUUUUAUCUCGUAUGAAGAUGUACUAUCUUAAACAUGACCAUUGGAGGAAUGUUGAGAGUCAAAAGACAUACUAUGGUUUUCACUAACCAACUAUUACCCUUUGUUCAGAAAAAGAAAAAGUUAAAGGUUGCUAAUGAGUCUGCAUGAGAGAGAGAGAGAGGUGAAGAUUUAAAAUAACAAAUAAAAACAAAUAUUAAAAUUCUAUAUUUACCCGUGAAUCUGGUGAUCCAAGGAGGCACUAGGACGUAAACUCACUGUAUGUAUUCCCAGAGCCUUCAAAGGCUUGCACUAUGCACGCACCUGAGCAUAAUAAAAGAUGACUGUCAACAGCUAACUUAUUGGACUGAAAAAAUCUAACAGCACCCAAAGGAAGAUAAGUAAAAUUAUUCUCUUUGUUGCUCAAAAAGAUGAAUAAGAAUUCAAAGAAAUGAUGUCCCAUCAUUCUGUCUCUAUUUGCAUUUAGAAUCAAUCCACUUUGAAUUUUUUUAAUUAAAAUGGAAAUAUUUAUUAAACGAAGAGAGGCAGGUGAGAUGCCCUUUCUUCAUAAUAUUAAAACGAAGGAUAUUCCAAAAGAUGAGGAGGAGUAGGAUCAAGUGAGGAUAGUUUCAAAUUUUCUGCAAUAAACUCCCUUUCUUAUGUGCAGUGACUCAGUUCUUCAGGGCAUAUUUGUAUAAUAUUUAUUAAAAAUAUAAUUUAUAAUUAUAUUAUAUUAUUAAUAUUCAUAUUUUAUUAAAAACUAUUUAUUUUUUAAUUUAUUUACAAUUAUAAAAUUAAUUUUAUUUUUAAUAAGACAUGAAUUAAAUUAAGGUUAUAUUACAUAAAUUGAAUUUACAAUUUCAAAAUUAAAAAUAACUUAUCUAAAAAUGUUUUUAGUUGUAUAAUUUUUAAAAACUAUUUUUAAAAAUAGGGACUGUCAAAAGCUAACUUAUUGGGGUGACAAAAUCUAAUAGCACCCCAAAGGAGGAUAAGUUAAACUUAUUCUCUUUGUUGCUAAAAAAAAAAAAAAAGAAUACAAAGAGAGGUGAGAUGCCCUUUCUUCAUAUUAUUAAAACCAAGGAUAUUCCAAAAUAUGAGAAGAAAGGGGCUGGUGAGGAAUAGACCUUCUUUCUCCUUUCUUGCAAUAGCAUCAGCAGCAGUAGAAAUCAUCCAAGGAAGAACAAGCUCCACUUGUCUCCAAUAUGUCAAUUCCGGAUGAAUAACUCAACUCCCCAUUCAUUAACCAAUAAAGGCUCGUCUUCUUUGCGAUUGAAGGUUACAUCCUGCUGCAAUGCACUCUGGAUUGACUUCAAGCACAGAAUGAGAAACUUUGACGGACAAUCCCACCCUUCCCUGGCAGAAGAAUCUUACCUUUUUCUGAUUUCUCUACCACAUUAUCAAUGGAUGGAAGAACCUCUUUCUGCUCAUUCUUUAUAGUUUUGACAUGCAUUUUCAGUUCUCGAUGAUUUACAUUUACAUGAUUCCCAUCCAGAGUUCUAUUCUUCAGAGCAGUAUUGUUCCCAUUGCAUUUGAAUUAAUUCUUUUCCCAAUUUUUAAACAAGAAAAAUGGAGUUUCGAAAUGUACAGGUUUUUCUCUAAUUUCCAUUAUAUAUUCAAAAUUUACAGACGCUUACACAUGUAAAAUGUGAUUCAGGCUUUAGGAAUGGUAAAUUAGGAGCAAUAGAAUCAGAUCAGUCAUGCGAGAAUAGCCAGAGAAAUGUCAAAAACAAUAAACAUAGCAAUGAGAGCUUAAUUGUGCUCACAUGCUGGAGCAGAUUCUCAAAGGGGUCUCAAGCAAAUCUAGCUCCACUAUUCUAAGAUGAAUGAACUGAAGAUAGCAUUAUUGCAGAAACUGACAGGCAGUGUAUUUUUAGUUACAGCAAGGGUGAAAAAUCUCAAGACUUCAGAAAAGAAGCUCAAACCAUCUGGAGAUAGUUUCAGCUAGAACAGCUCAAACUCCACACACUUUGUUGUGUCCUUCAAGUCCUUAUAAUCAAACUUAGCACUCCCCUUUUUCUGCACACUAAUUGCAGUGCUACCAAUUCCAGCAUCACAGAAAUUAGGCAAUUCCAAGGGUACUGCACUGUGUAUUAGAGCCCAAUUCAAGCCUUCAAAGAGAGUGUUUCUUCAUAUCUACCCUUUAAAUGUUUCUAACCAAUCCUCUGGCUCCUUUACUAACACCCCCCUGGUCAAAUCUCUUGCAUGAAAACUAACCAUAGGGCCUUUUGGGAAUUUGAGGCUAUGUGAUACCACACUCGCUAAUGUAUCUUCAUUUCCUGAACCCUUCAAGGUUUUCUUACUAUAUAAUAAUUUUGCACAAAGGAUGAUCUUGAGGGGAUUGAUACUUUUUAGUACAUGAUCAUUAUUCAAUCAUAUUGUGCUACCCAUAAAAAACCAUAGUUUUUCAGUUUCCUCAAAUUAUUGAUAGUAUCAACUCCCUACUUCUAAGUGGAAUUAUUCCAUAUAUUUAGACUACCUAUAGGCUUUUACAUCUACUAUCUAAACCUUAUUUUUAUAGUAUCUUCACACCAUUCCCAGCUCAUAAAUCUUAACCUCUAUAUAAUAUCUCCUUUAAAUCCUCAUUCCAUUUCAGUCUCUCUCUUUAUUAUUGACAGUUCCCAAAAUUGUAAACAUAGAAGUAGAGAAAAAAAGGUCACUGACCCUUCCUCUUCUUUUGAGAUCUUUGCACAGGUCUAUGGAUUACACUAGAUGGUAUGGUAUACAUCUAAAUGAUGCAACGAAAUUGACUAUGACGAAUGCAAAAUGUUGCUUCUUGCUAAUUUUAUCGGUUCCAGAUGUUGAGCCUGAUUCUGUUGCAGCGGAGGACCUGAAUAGAUAUUGUUGGUUUUAUUGAUCCUCAAGAUUGGUCUUGCCCUAGCAGUCAAAUUCCCAUGUGGACAACUUUAGAAUUGACUCUAUAUAAACAUAUCUGAUAUUUGCAAUUAGUUAAUACACGGUAGCAAUAUAUAUAAACAUACACUCUUUCUUGGAGUGAUAUGAUAGAUAGAUAAAUGAAUUUAAAAAAAAAAUUAUAAAUCAUCUUAUAAUUAAAAAAUGACAAAUAGCAAUAGAGAAAGGGAGAUAGAAGGGAAUGGCAAUGUUUCUAUUAACAUUCAAUCAAAAUUAAAAGUCUACAUAAUCAGCAAAAAAAAAAAAAAAAAAGGAAAAUCAAUUUAGUGACAAUUAUUAUCCAGGGAGGUUUAUCAUCUAGGGAGGUUUAUCAUCUUCUAUUAAAUAGUAAAUACACCUACCCUGUCUGUCCCUGAUAUCCAUAUCAGUUAUCCAGGAUGCCCCUUAAUGAACUAUUCCUAGGAUCAUCUUGUAGUCUUCUCUUUACAAGAGCGAAACCCAACUUGGACUUGAUUCGAAAAGACCAGAGCUGCACCGUUUCAUCUUUACUCAUACUAUUCCUCCGUACAACCGAAUUCCAAUUAGUCACCAACACAUACAUUGAGGUAGAAUUUCCGGAAGCUUUCUUCAUGUCCCACUUCCUCAGACUGAUGGUUUCUCGAUGAAGGGAGGGCUCAAUCAACAUCACUUCCAUAUCUGCACAUUUUUUUCCGUUUCCUCCUGAGUUCAACCUCUCGCUCUCUUCAGGUGUGAGGAAACUUUGUUGUAUCUGAUUCAAGGGUAUGGAUAGACGGUUCUGACUGAGUCUCACAUCACUCUUGAAGAGAGGCUUCUGGAUUACAAAAGUGACAUCAGAACCCCCUAGAGCCUUAAUCCGAUUCCUGAGGAUGACAGGGAGCUCUGGCGUUGCAUGGGGAGACGAACAAAUUGCCUUAUCCAUCAUCUUCUUCAUCAUCAGCUUCUUUUUCUCCUGAACACACACCCCCUCAUCAUCAUCGUCGUCGUCAUCAUCAUCAUGGCACCGUGGUGGCCGCUUCUUGAUCUUGAUCUUUUUUUGAAGACACUGAUCAUCUCCAUCUUCCAAUAUCUUCAUCGUUUCUUCAAGACGUUGAUCGUGUUUCUUCUCAUCUUCUACCACAGAAUCCAUUGAAGCGCGGGGUUUCUUGGUCUUCUUGGGAUGACAAGAUGAUGAGCCAGAGAGAAGUCUUUCAAUUUGGAAAGUUACAAGUGGGUUCUUGUUCUUGUUGGUAUGGCAGGAGAGAGCUUAUAUAUAGAUGACGUCCCUGAGAAACAAGUCUUUCAAUUUGAAAAGUUACUGAAUCCUAAUCAAAUCCUUAUAUUUUACUAAGAUAAUAAUUUUUCACAAUUUCAAGAAUAUUAUUUUAUAGGGAUUUUACUAUGGUUUUAAAUUAUUAUUUAAUAUCUAAUUAAAUUAUAAUUUCAUAUCCUAAUAAAACUAGGAUAAUAAAAGUAUUUCAUAAUUUAAUCAAUCACCUAAUAGAGUAAAAAUAAUAAAAUAAGCCCACUUAAUUAAGGAAAUAUAGUCCUAAUUUAAUUAAGAUUAACAUUAACAUUAUCCAUAGAACUAGUGACAAGACCUAAAUAUUAAUGGAGUAUGAUCCUUAGAUAUUACUAUAUUACUUUGAGAAAAUUAUCAUUUGCUAAAGUAGCGGACUAGUUAAACUUGAUAAAAAUAAUAAAAAUAAUAUAAAAAAAUAAAAAAGGAGUUUUAUAAAGGAAACACAACUAAAGAUAUUUUCUUAAUCUAUGAGGCUAUGUUUGGUUGGUGAUGGGUUGAGAUAAGUUAUCUCAUCACUUAUCUUAUCCUAUAUUUAACCAAAUUCAUGAUUAAAAUAUUUAAACUUUUCAAAUAAUUUUUUUAAUAUUAUGUUAUUUAAUAUAUGAAAAUAAUUUAUAUAUUACAUAUUAAUAUUAUUUUAUAAAUAUUUUUUUAGUUUUUCUUUUUUAAUCAUAAAUUUAAUUUAUAAUAAAAAAAAUUAUUUUUGUAGAAUGAGUAUAUUAUUAUUAUAAAUAAAUAAAUAAUAAAUAAAUAAAUAAAUAAAAUUUUGAUAUAUGAUAUAUGUAUAUCUCAUACCAUAACAUGGGAUUAACAUAUCCCAUGUGAAAGGGGUAAAAAAAAAAAAUGGAUAAUAUAUCACACCACUUAUCAUAUCACAUGUUUAGUUGGAUAUAGGAUAAGAUAAGUGAUGUGAUAACUUAUCAUAUCCUAUAACAAAUCAAAUAUGGGAUAUGAAAUAAUAUUCGCUCUUUUAUUCAAUUUCAUGUUAUAUCCAAACAACUAAAUAUGACCUUAAAUUAUUUUAAAGGAUAUAAGUCAAUCGUAAUUUGUUUUGUGGUUCAACUAGAAUAGUACAAUUAGCAUAUAGGAUUUUGAAAAUUGCUAGCUACUAUUUACUCUUACCGGUAAUAUUAGAGUUAAAAAGGUUUUGGGAUUUAUCCAAAAAUAUUUGUUUAUUUAUUCUUGUCCUCAACAAUGAGAAUUUCUAAUAACCAUAUGUAGGAUAUCUUAUUAUCUUAUAUCUUACACUUCCUUUUGGUGUCUAAUGACUCAUAAUAGGCAAUGAUGAAAAUAUUAGUUUUUAAGGAUGUAUUGGUAAUUUAAUUUUAUGAAUAUAUUGGGACAUAUUGCAAAAUAUCAUUAGAUAUUCUGACAUAAAAUAUUUGUAAAAAGGAAAUUGAACGAGACUCAUGAAAAUUUUGAGAAAAAUUCUAAAAAAUGAUAUAAGAAAUAAUAAUAGACAUUUUGAGAUUGUUUUCUUAAAGAAAUUGAUAUAUGUAUGAUAUAAUUAGGGAUAUCCAAUAAUAAUAUUUAGAAUUUAAAAUUAGAUUUUAUAUAAAUUUACCUAAUUUCAAUAUAUUCAAUAAUAUAAAAAUGAUGAUACAUGUAUAAGUAUUUUUUAUUUUAAAAUAUUGAUAAUUUUAUUUAUAAAUUUAAACUUAUUUUAUAUUUAAUUAUUAUACAAAAUACAUGAUAAUUAAAAUUAAUAUUAUAUAUAUAUAACAUUUGUAAUAUAAAUAAAUAAAGGAUAUUUGAAUCAUAAUGUUUGUUUAUCAUUAAAAACAAAAAUACUUUGAAGACAAUAAAUUCUAUACAAAUUUUCAAAUGAUAUUGAUAUAUAUGUUUUUUUUCUCCCAUCUAUAUUUGUGCUCAACCAAACAAAAUUAUGGCUAGUUAUGAACAAAUAUGAAUUUAUAUAGAAAAGGAAACCAAGAUUGUAUUGGUUUAAAUUUGAUAAUUUUAGUCAUAUUAUUGAGUUGUUAACAAUGAACGUUUCAAAUUUUUUUAAAACAAUUUUUUUUUCUUUUAAGAAUUAUAACCUGCAAAGUUUCAUUUAAAAUUAUUUAAUUUCCAUUUUAAACCUUCUUGUAAAAUCUAUAUUGAUAGUAGCAUAGAUUUCAUUUCUUAUGAUAUUUAGUAAUUAAAACAUUAUUAAUUUCAUGUAAAAUUUGUGAAAACGGUUCUUCAUUGAUAUUUCAUUGUUGACAUUAUUAUUAUGUUCAUCAUUUAUGUAAUGUUUUUAUGAAUUCCUACUCAACGUUAGUAAAUGAUCUUCAUGUUUUGUUGUUUUUAUGUUGUGGGAAUGGAUGGCAUCGGAAAAUAAAGAAUAGAUUUUAUAAAUGAAUUCAUAUAUUAUUUCUAAUACAAUAUCCAAAAUAUAAAGAAUUGGUAAAAAGUGUAAUAAAAAAAACUAUUUUCACCAAUUAUCCAAGCUAUUCCAUUGAACUGACAAAUUGGGAUAAAAGGGGUAAUGCCAUAUUAUUGAGUUGAAAACCCUAAAAUUCAGAUAGUAUUGAGGAUGUUUAUAUUGAAAAAUCUUAUCUUAAGUUAAAAAUGUAAUUUCUUUUUUACAAUUGAACAAAGUAAUUAUCAAUAAAAUAAAAUAAAAAUUCAUCAUAAAUAUAUACAUAUAUGUUAAACACCCUAAUAUUUUCUGAUGCCAUGUGUCAUUUCUAAUAUAUGGAUAAAAAUUGAUAAUGUUUGGUUCAAGAUGAGCAAAAUUAUAUUUCUAAACGCACUCCACAAAUUCCUUCUAAUCAUGCCUAAUAUCACCAAGUAACAUACGGCUAACUCUCUACUUUACUAAAUUAAUUAACUCUCUACUUUAUUAAUAUUAAUUAGAAACAUUAUUUUUUUCUUAAUAAUAUUGGCUAAAGUAUAAAAGAUUUUUUAAGAUUGUGUAUUACAUGUAGUAAUCCAUGCAUAAGAAGCACAAAGCCCCAUGAAGUUCAUGUUAUCCAUGCCUCGAUUUGUUGGUACAUCAAUUUUGUUUGGUAUAGACAGUAAAAGGGCAUUAUGGUUAUGUUAGGUGGUAAAAAAAUUAUGAAAAAAUGCAAGGAAAGAAAAUAGUAAGGAAAAGUAGAAUGAAAGAAAAAACAAGAAAUAUAUAUAUAUAUAAUUAAUAAAUUAUUUUUUAUAUUACUUUUAACUUCAUUUCACCUUUUUAUCCCCUUUAUGUAAAAUUAAAUAAUUUUAAAAAUAUAUAAAUUUAUAACUAAUUUUAAUUAUAUUUUAUUUUCUUUCAUAUUUUUUUUAUUUAAAAAAAACAUUAUUUUGGCAUUCAUUCAUGUGGUAUUGCAAUAUUUAUUUUACUAUAUUUUAAAAGCAAAAUAAAUAAUUUUUAAAUUAUAUUUUUAAUUCUUAUGAAUAUUAAAUAUUACUAAAAAAAUAAAAAAUGGGUUUGAAAUUUAUAUAACAAGAAGUAAAAAUAUUUGAAAAACCUUUUCAAUAAUUUAAAAAUUGAAGGAAAAAGAUUGAAAAAGGUUUUUUUUAUUUUAUUUAUUUUAUGCAAUUGUCUCCUUAACCUUUUUGUAUUUUUAAUCUCUUUGUCUUUAUUUACUUCAAGACUAAUUGUAUUGUGUGAAACCAAUGUUUGGUUAAUCUUGAUUUUGAUGAUAACAAAAUAAAGUUUAGAACUAAUGAUUAUAUUUCAAGUGUGAUUAGGCAAGACGACUUCCAAAGUGGCAAUUACAAAGACAAAUCAAGUUAAAGAGAAAUCAUGAAGAAGAAGAAGACCUCAAAGAGAAAUGUUUUUUCAAGACCCAAGCUUUAUAAGAUUUCUUUGUAAGGUUGUUGGUGCACUAGGAUUUUCAUGCAUUACAUUCUUUACUUAUGUACCAAAAUCAUUCAAAAUUUAUUUUGUUUUAAAUAUUUUUAAAAUUGGAUGAUUUCAUGUUUUCAACUAAAACACUGUGUCAAAUAUUUUUCAAACUUAUUUAUAAGGUUUUAAGUUGAAAAAGUCGAUUGUCAGGGCCAAAACAUUGAAUCGGUCGAGGCAUUGGGCCAACUAGCUCAACCAACCAGGGUACCGGUCGACCGGUUCCCCUUGCCCGAUCAAGGAGUGCUAAAAACACUCUCUUUCUUCCAAUAGUCUUCGCUUCUCGGUUGAGGUAUCCUCCUUCCCGGUCGACCUCCGGUUGAGGUCCGAUUGAAGCAACGGUAACCUGUCAAAGCAUUAAAUGUUCCAACGGCUAGUGAACCAGUCGACCCCCAACUCGAUCGAUCGAACCCCCAACGGCUAUUUUGGUCAUUUUCUUCUAUAAAAAGGCUCCAAAUCUUUAUUGUUUAAGAUCUCAACCUUCCCAAACCUUUCUUGAAUAUAUCUGAGCCUUGGAAAAGUGUUUUGAGUGCACCAUUGUUCUAAAACUUGCAUAUCAUUAGUGCACCUUUCAAUCCUAGUUUUCUUGUAUCAUUUGAGCUUAAAGUUUUUGUAUUAAGAUUUUGUGAGAUCAUUUAUUUAUAAAUCUUUGAGAGAAAGUUUUUCAAAUGUAGGCUAUCACUUGAGGGGUUGUUUAAGAGUGGGUUAUCUCUUGAGAAGUGUAAAGGGUGCUUGGAGUCAAAAGUCCAAGAGGGUGAAUUGGAACCAUAAUCCAAUUGUAUUGCUCGAAGGCUUGGUUAGGAAGCCUUGAAUUAGUGGAACCUCAAGCUUGGGAUUGAAGCUAGAGAAGAGUGGAUGUAGGCUAAGUUGGGUCGAACCACUAUAAAAAUCUUGUGUUUGCAUUUUUUUUCCCUACUCCUUUAUUUUAUAUGCAAUUGCCUUUAUAUUGCUUUAUUAUAUAUUUGCAUAUAUUUGUCUCUUGUAUUCACAUAGUUUAAAUUUGCAAAAAGAGACCAUCACUCUAUUCACCCCCAUCUAGGAUGAUUAUCAUAGGUUGGAUUAGCCUAAUUUUUCUAAUAUAUUGUAUUAUUUUAUUAUUGUUAAAAAUAAUUUUUAGUAAAUUUCGAUUAAAGAAUUUAUUAGUAUUACUAUAUUUUAUGAUAUAUAAAUAUUAUUAUUAUUAUUAUUAUUAUUAUUAUUAUUAUUAUUAUUAUUAUUAUUAGUAUUAGUAUUAUUAGUAUUAUUAUUAUUAUUAUAUAAACAAACAUGCUUAUAUAUAUUAAUAAUAAAAAAUUAUUAAUGCUAAUAAUAAAAUAAUAUUUAAUGAUAUUUUUAAAAGAAAAAGAAAAAGAAAUGGAUGUAGGAAGAGCGGACGUGUAUGUGUUUAAGAAUGCUAUUUAUUUUUAAUUUUUAUUGCAAAAAUGUUCAUAAAAGUUAGAGAACAAAUCAUGAUAACAUGAGACAUUAAAUACUUUUGAAUUUUGAAAAUGUUAAAACGUAUUUGGGGGCUUUUAUUAUAUUUCUUAAUUUUUAAAAACAAAAAAUAAAAACAUAUUUGAUAUUAUAUUAAAACAAAAGGUGUUAUACUCUACACUCCAUCCAUCGUGGAUUUAUAAAAUGAAAAUCUAUUCAAAUCUUUAUAAAAGUAUAUUAUAUAAUAAAUAAGUGAAUAAUAAAAAUUAAAACUACGAAUUACAAAGUAAUGCAAUAAAAUCAAAUUAAAUUCCAAAAGACACGUACAUAUUAUAAUAUUAAAAAAUAUUCUAAUUUAACAUAUAUACGACAAAAUCACAUAAUCUAACCAUAAACCAUUAUCUUUCUCCAUGAUCUUCCCUUCUUUGUUAAAUCUUGCCGGUCUAACUUUUAGUUCUGGCCUUUCACAAUUAUUUGUGCCACCCAAAAUUCUCCAUGAAUGUUUCUUUGAAUAUUAUCCGGACAUCCAACAAGUUGUGUAAAAGUGUCACUCAAUUGAGAUUUUUGACCUUGAAGCAAAUAUCUUGUGACUUUGGCGACAGUGGUUUCAAUAACUAAAACAAAAUCAUUAUCUUUGCUUAAUGCGACCCCAUUUGAAAAGGAUAAGCCUCUUAGCAACACUGUCACUUUUUUGUCCUUGGAUCAUAUUUUAGUAACCUUCCAGUCUUAUCCCCAAUUUGCAUUGAUAUUGCAUAAGCCCUAAAAAAUUCCAUUGUUAAUCAAUGGGAAUGAGAAUCAUAACUAUAUGAACAAACAUAAAAAAAAAAAAAAUCUAUAUAAUGAAUAAAUUGAUGAUACAUACCAUCUUUGGAAUAUGGUGCUAGUAUUGGUAAAAUAGACAACUCUUGUAUUUUGAUCAAUGUCCAAAGCAUUAGUGAAUCGAAAUGGGACUCCUUCUGCACUAAUGGCUACUUAUUUAGCAACUCCACCAUUGUGCCCAACCACCAAUAGCCCAAAAUAAACAUCUACAAUGUAAAGAUCACAUGUUGCUUCAUUGAAUUUAAGACCCAAUGGUCUUCCACAUGCUCCAUUGCAUGGUUGAGUGAUCCAUCACAAAAUUUAAGAAUCCUAAUCAAGUACAAAAACAAAUACUUCAAUUAUUUCAAAUACACUUACAAUUACAAAAAAGGUUGAAUUGAACACUAAAAGAAUACUUUAUGUCAUGCAAUUAAUAUGAAUAUACAACAUAAUUAAAAAAUUAAUUAUACAUUAUUAAAUUUUAAAAUCUAUUUAAGACAUAUAUGUAAUUAUAAGUGAAUAUAUACUAAACAUAAUGAAUAAAAAAUUUACUAGUAGUUUUUACCUGAACGAGAAAGUGAUUGUAAACUCCUUCCAUCCAUGUUUUGAACCUUGCUAAUUUAAAAUUCUACCAUUUGAGAUGUUAAGGACCAUCUCCAUUACAAUCGAAGGCAAUACUUUCAGGGCCAAAUACCCUUGAAGGAAGUUAAUGUGUGUUGUAGUUUAGGGCUUGAUGUGAAUUAACACAUUCAAAAAGAGCAAUCGAAAUAAAAGAGAAAAUAAAGAAUUGUGAAAGUUUCAUGGUGUUGAAGAAAAUGAUGGACAAUUCUUUCUUUGGUACUAAAAGUAAAUAUUAUGCUACCCUUGAAUCUAUAUAUAAGAAGAAAAUCAUAGGUUAUCCUAAUUAAAGUCAAAAUAUAAUUAUUAUAACAUAAGAAUUAGGACUCUAAUUAAUAUCUUAAAGGAGUUCUUUUUCGAGUAGAUUUGUUUUUAGGAAGUGAAAAGAAAGCUUCUGGAUUAUUUUGUUUUAAUAUGUUUUAAGAAACUACAAUAGCCUUUUGAGAGUGGGGACUAAUAAAAAAAUUGAAAAUAAAUAAAUAAAUUAUUUGAGAUAAAUUUAUAAAAUAAAGAAUUUGGAGACUCACUCGUUUAUUCAUAUUUCUUCUACUAUUAAGUUAUUCUAUGAUAAGAGUAUUUAUGAAAUUAAUGUGUCUUUGUAUUUACUUUAUACCAUAAUUUUUUAUUUAUCUUUUAUUUCUAAAAAACAGAAAUUAACUAUAUUUAUUAUUUAUAGAUCUUGAAAAGAUAAGUAAAUACUUUUGACUUUUUAAAAAAUUAUAGAAAUAGUAACAAUGGUCAAAUGAAUUAUAAUCCAUUUGGUAGUGAUUUUUUAAAACACUUCUAACAUAAAUACUGUUUUUGAAGAAAAAUUUAAAACUACGUUUGGUUUCCGAAAAAUAUUAAAGAAAAAAAAUGAUUUUAUAAUGUUUGGUUUUAAUAUGGAAAAUACGGAAAAAAAAAUCAAAUAUAAAUUAAUUAGAAAUUUACAUAUUUUUAAAUUAUUUAAUCUUUAUAUAUAAGAGGAAAAAUAAGUGAAAAUGAAUUUGAAGUAGCAUAUAAAAUAAUUUAUUGAUUUUAAAUAUAUAUAUAUAUAUAUAUUUUCUUUUCUUCCACUUUUCUUCUUUAUUUUCUUAACCAAAAACAGCCUAUAAGGCUAUGUUUGGUUCUUGGAAAGUGUCAAAGAAAGAAAAAUAAUUUUCUCAUGUUUGAUUUUAAUAUGUUAAAUAGAAAAUAAAAUAAAAUAUAAUUACAAUUAGUUAGAAAUUUAUAGAUUAUUAAAUUAUUUAAUCUUUAUAUAAAAGAGGAAAAAUAAGUGAAAUAAAUUUGAAAUAACAUAUAAAAUAAUUUAUUCAUUUUAAAUUUAUUUUUUAUUUUCUUUAUUUUUUCUUUCCCUCACAUUUUGUUAGGAACAAACAUAGUUUAAGUGUUCGAAAAAAUCUUAAAAACACUUUUAAAAAAUCGACAUAUCACUUGUAGUAUUUCCUUAAAAAGCAAGAUUCUUUCAAAAGGCAAAGAAUAUCUUAAUGAAUGCCAUUUAAUUGUGAAGGCAAGGCCCUAUAGUUAAGACAGAAUAACUGUUACACCGUAAUGAAUGCCCUGUAAUUGUAAAGGCCCUAUGGUUAAGACAAGACAGAAUAUUUGUUCCUAUUGGUUCAGAAUCCAUAAAAUGUCUAACAUUAUGGUACUGACUUUGACAUUGUGAACCUUCUUUGCAGGGACGUGCAGCGAUUGGAGGACGGCCACCUAAUAGUUCUACAGUAUCAACACCGUGGGAUACAAUGAGGGUGAUGAUGAUGAAAGCAGAUAUUUACAUGUAGUUUGUUACAAGUUAGGACUAACCAAAUAAAAAAUUUUAAAAGAAAAAAAAUAUUUAUAGAAAAAAAUUUAAAAAUAUAUAUAUAUAUGGGGAUUCAUUCAUGUGGUAUUGCAAUAUUUAAAAGAAAAAUAAAUGAUCUUUAAAUUAUAUUUAAAAUUCUUAUAAAUAUCAACCAUGUUUGGUAUAAUUAAUGUUAAUAAUAAAAUCAUAUUUAAUAAUAUUUUUAAAAGAAAAAGAAAAAGAGAUAGAUGUAGGAAGAGAUGACGUGUAUGUGUUUAAGAAUGCUCUUUAUUUUUAUUUUUUAUUAUCAAAAUGUUCAUAAAAGUUAGAGAACAAAAUCAUGAGAACAUGAUACACUAAAUACUUUUGAAUUUUGUAAAUGUUAAAAGGUAUUUGGGGGCUUUGAUUAUAUUUCUUAAAUUCUAAAAGCAAAAAAUAAAAGCAUAUUUGAUAUUAUAUUAAAACAAAAGGUGCUAUACUCUACACGUUAAUCACUUAAUCCAUAUGUCACAGAUUUAUAAAAUGAAAAUCUAUUCAAAUCUUUAUAUAAGUGUAUUAUAUAAUGUAUAAGUGAAUAAUAAAAAUUAAAACUACGAAUUACAGAGUAAUGCAAUAAAAUCAAAUUAAAUUCUAAAGACAUAUAUUAUAAUAUUAAAAAAUAUUCUAAUUUAAUACACUUAUAUAUGGAAAAAUCACAGAACCUAACCAUAAACUAUUAUCUUUCUCUUGGACUUCACUCACAGGGCCAACAUCCUCACUUAAUUCUUCCAUGAUCUUUCCUUCUUCGUUAAGUCUUACCGGUCUAACUUUUAGUUAUGGUCUUCCACAAUUAUUUUGUGCAACCCAAAAUUCCCCAUGAAUGUUUCUUUGAAUAUUAUCCGGACAUCCAACAAGUUGUGUAAAAGUGUCACUCAAUUGAGAUUUUUGACCUUGGAGCCAAUAUCUUGUGACUUUGGCGGUAGUGGUUUCAGUAACUAAAACAAAAUCUUUGUCUUUGCUUAAUGCAACCCCAUUUGAAAAGGAUAAGCCUCUUAGCAACACCGUCACUUCUUUGGUCCUUGGAUCAUAUUUUAGUAACCUUCCGGUCUUAUCCCCAGUUUGCAUUGCUAUUGCAUAAGCCCUAAAAAAUUCCAUUGUUAAUUAAUGAGAAUGAGAAUCAUAACUAUAUGAACAAACUUAAAAAUAAAAAUAAAAAAUCUAUAUAGCAAGGAGUAAAUUUAUGAUACAUACCAUCUUUGAAAUAUGGUGCUAGUAUCGGUAAAAUAGACAAUUCCAGUGUUUUGAUCAAUAUCCAAAGCAUUAGUGAAUCGAAAUGGGACUCCUUCUGCACUAAUGGCUAUUUGUUUAGCAACUCCACCAUUGUGCCCAACCACCAAUAACCCAAAAUAGGCAUCUGCAAUGUAAAGAUCACAUGUUGCUUCAUUGAAUUUAAGACCCAAUGGUCUUCCACAUACUUGUUCCAUUGCAGGGUUGAUUGAUCCAUUACAAAAUUUAGGAAUCCUAAUCAAGUACAAAAACAAAUACUUCAAUUAUUUCAAAUACUUCAAUUAUUUCAAAUACUUUCAUACAUUUUUAUCCAACAUAAAACCUAUACUUACAAUUACAAAGAAGGUUGAAUUGAACACUAAAAGAAUAUUUUAUGUCAUGCAAUUAAUAUGAAUAUACAACAUAAUUAAAAAAUUAAUUAUACAUUAUUAUAUUUUAAAAUCUAUUUAAGAAAUAUAUGUAAUUAUAAGUGAAUAUAUACUAAACAUAAUGAAUAAAAAAUUUACUAGUAGUUUUUACCUGAACGGGGAAGUGAUUGCAAACUCCUUCCAUCCAUGUUUCGAACCUUGCCAUUUUAAAAUUCUACCAUCCGAGAUGCCAGUAUAAGGACCAUCUCCAUUACAAUCGAAGGCGAUGCUUUCAGGGCCAGAUACCCCUGAAGGAAGUUUAAGUUUGUUGUAUUUUAAGGCUUGAUGUGAAUUAACACAUUCAAAAAGAGAAAUCGAAAUAAAAGAGAAAAUAAAGAAUUGUGAGAGCUUCAUGGUGUUGAAGAAGAUGAUGGACAAUUCUUUCUUUGGUACUAUAAGUAAAGGUUAUGCUACCCAUAAAUCUAUAUAUAAGAAGAGAAUCAUAGGUUGUCCUAAUUAAAAUCAAAAUAUAAUUGUUAUAAGGAUUCUAAUUAAUAUUUGAAAUGAGUUCUUUUUCUAGUAGGAUUCUAAUUAAUAUUUGAAAUGAGUUCUUUUUCUAGUAGGAUUUGCUUUUAUGAAGUGAUAGAAAGACUUCUAGAUUAUUUUGUUGUUAGCCUUUUGAGGGUGGGGACUAAUAAAAAAAAAAGAGAUUAUUUGAGAUAAAUUUAUAAUCAUCUGUUACACCGUAAUGGAUUCUUCCAGCCUGAGGGCAAUGCCACCAUCUCAAGGAAGUUUCCCUGGGAAGGUAACCAUUCUUGAUACAUUUGGAAUGGGCAUCAAUGUCAUCGACCCAUUUUGGAUAGGGCUACCACAUGCGGUGGUGGGGACAGGUUGGGUUUGGAUAAUUAUUUCUAAUUUUUGGUUUAGAGUUUAUCCAAAUUGUUUUUUUUUUUUUGGUUUUUUAAAACAUUGCAAAUUUAAAUUUAUAUAAUAUAAAUUUAAUUUAAUUCAAGGCUAGUUUUAUAAUUACAAAUAAAUUAAAAAAUAAAUAUUUUUUUAGUAAAAUGUGAAUAAUAAUAUUAUAAUUAAAUCAUAAAUUAUAUUUUUAAUUAAAAAAAUACUAUUUUAGUAUAUAUUAGAAAUAUAAAGAUAUUAACAUCUUCAUAUUUUUUAUUUAUUAAAAUGAAUAAUAAUAAUAAUAAUAAUUUAAAAUAAUAAAUUUUAAUAAUAUUUUAUUUAAAAUAAAUAAUGAAUAAAGUUUAACUUUUUUUAAACAUGUAAAUGAGUUAUGUUUUUCAUGCGCAUAUCUAAUAUUGAAUUACAAAUAUAAUACUUUAAAAUGUUUUGAUUUACUUUAUAAUUAAUUAGAUCGAUUUUUUGAAUUCAAAAUUAUUCUUAAAAAUUAGAAAAUGAUUAAUUAUGUUAUAAUUUAUAAUUUAUUUACCUAAAUUAAAAAUAUAUAUUUGUAUGUAUAGGAGAAACAAUAAAGUCAUGACCAUAAUAUAUCAGUUUUGAUUUAUUAUUUUUUUAACAAUUAGAUUUACUUUUUGAAUUUAUAUUAUUUUUAAAAAUUGUUAAACUCAUUAAUAAAUUCAAUACAGAUUGUCACUUGAUUUGUAGUUCAUAUUUAUAGUGAGAAAAUUUAUAAAAAUAUAGUUAUGUGUAGAAAAAAAUUAAUAGAGCAAUUAUGAACUAAUUUUAUCCAUAAAAUUUUUUAUUAAUGAGCUUAUUAUUUAAGUUUAAAAUUAUUUUUAAAAAUUACUAAACUUGUUAUGAAUCCCAAUACGUUAAGACUUAUUUAAUUUUAAACCUAUUUUCUGGUUAAAAAAAAAUAGAAAUAAUGAUUCUAUGUAGAUGGGAAAUAAUAGUCAUUUUCCAUCAAUUUUUGCUCAUAAAUUUUUUGUAUUGAUUGAAUCAUUUUUUGAGUUUUAAAUUAUUUUUAAAAAUUAGUAGACUCAUUAAUCUAACAUAUUAAGUUUUUUUUAUUUGGAAAUCAUUUGCCUAAUGAAAAAAAAAUCAGAAAAUAAGAAUUUCAUGUAAAAGAGAAAUAAUAAAGUUAUUCUAGACUAAUUUUUGUCCAUAAAAUUACAGUAUUAAUUGGUUCACUAUUUAAUUUUUAAAAAUUAUUUGACUCAUUAAUAAAUUUCUUAUUUAAUUUAAAGCUUAUUUGCGUGAAAAAAAAAUUGAAAAAUUAGGAUGGUAUGUAAAAGAGAAAUAAUAAAGUUGUUAUAAAUAAAUUUUUAUCUAUAAAUUUUUGGUAUUAAUUGUUUCAUUAUUUGAGUUUUAAAUUAUUUUUAAAAAUUAUUAGAGUCAUUAAUGAAUCCAAUACAUUAAAUUUUGUUUAAUUUGGAGUUUAUUUGUUUAGUAAAAAAAAUUAGAAAAUAAGAAUUCUAUGUAAAAGAUAAAUAAUAAAGUUGUUUAAAACUAUAUUUAUGCUCUUAAUUGAUUCACUAUUUGAGUUUAAAAUUAUUUUUAAAAAUUACUAUUUGAGAACUAAUAUGAAUAUUUAAUUUUUUUAAAUAUAAAAUUAUAUAGGAUAUAUGGUAUAAUAUAAUAUAAAGGUAAUUGAUAGGAAAUAGGGUUCAUGGCACUGAAUCCAUACCCGGUUUAUGAAAUUCUCACCAUUCUUAUCUGAUUAGAGGUGCUGACUGGAUUGCCAAUAAAUUUUUUUAUUAUAUGACGUGGCACCAUCUUUUGUUAAAUAAUGUUGAAGAAGAGAUUGGCGGUAUGCUUCGAGUAAAAAACAGAGAGAAUCCGAUUUGAAGUUUUUAAAAAUUAAAUUUAUCUCAAAAUAAUUUGAAAUUCAUGCGCUACAUCAACCAAAUAAUUAAUCGGUUGAAUUUUUAAAAAUAUUUUACAAAUUAUUUAAUAUUUAUUUAGAUAUAUUUCUUAUUUUUAUUUUUAAAUAAAAUAUAGUAAUAUUUUUUAUACAAAUUUAUAAAAAUUCUUAAAAGCUUAUAUUAAAAAAAUAAUGAUUUCAAAAAAUAUUUAAAAAAAUUGAUGUAUCCAAAAUAUUUUACCGCCUCCAAUUUUAGAAUUUUUAAAAUUGAUUUUCAAAGAUGUUGGGUAAAUUUAUAUGUUUUUUGUGUGAGAUGCUUAACGUUUAUAUAAAAGUUCUUAUUUUAAAAAUAAAAAUUAUAAAGUAUAUUGUGAUAGAUAUUAUAUCCAAUUUAUACAAACUAUAAUUCUUUUAUUAUUUUUGAGAAAAAAGUAUUUUAUUUAUCAUCUUGUUUUUUAUCUUGUAAUUUUAGAAAAAAAUUCCUAAUUUUUUUAAUAUAAAAAAUAUUUCUUGCAAACCUUAUCCAUUGUAGAAAAAUUUCUUCAAAAAUUUACUAUUAUCGGUUAAGGUGACGGAUACAAUUUUUAUUUUAAUAUUUUUCAAAGGAAAAAAAUAAACACUUUAAAAUUUUAUAAAUGUUAUAACAUGUUAAAACAUAUUUGAGGGAUUUUCUGACAUAUAAUUUUUUUUUUUCAAGAAAAUAAAAACUAAAAUCAUAUUUUAUACUAUAUGAGAAGAUGGAAACAUGAUUUUCAAAUUUAUUAAAAUUUUUUUUUUUUAAAGUGGUAUACUCUUCGUGUUUUUUUAAAAUGAAAAUCUAUUGAGAGCUUUAUAAAAGUAUAUUUUCAAAAUAAUCGGUUGAUUUUUUAAAAAUAUUUUACAAAUUAUUUAAUAUUUAUUCAAAUAUGUAUUUUUUAUUUAUUUUUAAAAUAAAAGAUAGUGAUAAUUUUUAAACAAUUUAUAAAAAUUCUUAAAAGCUUAUAUUUAAAAAAUAAUGAUUUCAAAAAAUAUUUUAAAAUUUUGAUGUAUCCAAAAUAUUUUACCACCAAUUUUAGAAUUUCUAAAAUUGAUUUUCAAAGAUAUUGGAUAAAUCUAUAUGAUUUUUGUGUGAGAUGCUUAACCUUUAUAUAGAAGUUUCUUAUUUUAAAAAUAAAAAUUAUGAAGUAUAUUGUGACAGAUAUUAUAUAUAAUUUAUAGAAACUAUAAUUCUUUUAUUAUUUUUUAGGAAAAAAAAGUAUUUCAUUUAUCAUCUUAUUUUUAUCUUGUAAUUUUAGGAAUCUACCCCCAACUCUGAUCCAAGAAGUCGAACCCAGACUGAACGUAUUGGUACUCCUGAAAUAGUGGAAAUACUAGAUAAGGUGCGGGGUAAAGGAAACUUCACAAAGAAUGUCUAUCAAAUGUGUCAAAAGGUAGCCUGGAAGCAAACAAACUGAUAUCCAAUCUUGAGCAGAUAUAUAAGAGACUACUGCGAAGGUAACCAAACCUGUUACUACUGAACCGGCUCUGAAGGCCCAUAGAUGCACCCACGUGUAGGGAGGGAGUCCUAAUCGGAGGAUCUACGGCUCAACCUACAAGGUGAAGGGUGGCUCUAAAUGGAUAUGGGUGGACUUUAAAAGAUCCCUAGCAGAAGCGAUCGUACCCUCCGGCGGUACGCAACCAUCUGCACGUCUCAAAAAGAGACGGGGUGCUUCCAUGCAAGGUGGUCAUCACCUCCACACGUGCACUACCUCGACAUCCCAGGGGGUUUCCUAUGGUGAAACCUCUCAAACUCUCGACGCUCAAUGGUCAACUAAAGUGCACAGUGAAUGGUGUGGGUGCAUCCGAAAACCCUAAGAAUCUAGAGCAAAAAAGGAAACACACUGGUCGCACGACUAUCCAUGAAACCUAGCUCGGGGCUAUACAGGUCUUCAAUGAUCAGACUCCAAUCGACAUCAAAGUGUCGCUCUCCUCCAAAAUGCUCUCGUGCAUCGAUAUAGCCCGUCGCUAGACCCUACUCCUAAUCUCUGGCUCGGUCAGAGAGCAAGCACACAGAAGGUCUCACACUUGCAAUAGUGAGAACCGAGAUGAAAGGAAUGACCGAGACCAAGAGAUUUGGAAGUAAGGGGAUAGAAGUGAGACCCACAUAGACAAGCGACAUGCAAUCAUGUAGAGGGAGGGCAGUCAUGCAUCAUACAGUCAGGCAGAGCAGAAUAUAUCACUCAUGUACACACAAGAUAAGCGAGAAUACGACAAUCAAGACGAAUAGUGAUACAAACAUCAUGCUCAAAUACGAUCAAAAUAGUAUACAAGUCAGAUAAUCAACAUGUCAAGCCGAGUGAUAUACAAUGGUGAGUGUAUGCAUGUGAAGUGAUCAGAAAAAUCAUGCCAAAAUCAGAAUCAAUACACUAAGCAAUGCAAUAAGAUCAAUCAUCAAUAAUCCAGCAUGUCAAAAUCUCAAAUGAAUACAACAUCUAAGCAUGCGUCGAGAAAUCCUCAAUGUGCAAUCAAGAGAUGAGCAUCCACUGAUCGUCCAAUCAAAUGCCACGUUUGCUUCACUCUAAGUUCAAGCUUGACCCUCUAAAAAAAAUUCCCCAGUGGAGUCGCCAUUUUGUGAACCCCGCAUUUCGGCUCAUGCGUUUCCCACUCGAUGGCAAGCUCGAUUUUUUUUUGUUAGAAAAAAUGAUUUUAUUUGAUUAAGAAAGAAAAAAAGAAAAAAAGAAAAAAAAAUGACUUGGAGUCGCCACUUAUUUUUGUUUUAUUUUUAAAGGGUAAACAAAAUAAGAAAGAAAAACCCUAAGUGUGACUCCUUGUUUUGGAAAAGGUGGUCUGUGAAAAAAUCGGAUCAGGUUCGGGGAUCAGGUUACUUAUCGAGAAGGUACGAUAGAGACCGUAGCACCCCUCUAAGUCCCUAAAGUUGGGUCUCUACUAAUAAAGUGAAACUGACGUGGCAAUCGAAUAAGAAAGUCAAUGGAUACUCGCAUCAAUCAUGCAUAUAUGAGAAACAAAAUAUGUACUGUGUAUGAUCAGAAUGAGUGAAUGCAUACCUGGGCAGCAAACAGCAACGCGCUAUCAAGAAACGGGAUUAGUGUGCAAUUAAUGAAUACAAAAUAUAGCCUAUGCAUAUCGGAGUGCGAAACGAAGCUCAAGCGAAAUACAUUAAGCAUGACAAUUGACAGUCAAAAGGGGUCAAACAUAGGGCCCCCAACGAAGCCCGAUUUAUUGUUCAUGAGCUAAUCCCACAAAUCCCGUGUUUUAGAAUUAUGAAGGAAUCACUAUUGCUUAUAUAAAAUCAGGAAGAUCAGAAGAUUAUUUAGGAACUGAAAUGUGAUUAAAAACUAUUCGAGUGAAAACUGGAUUAUUGGAGCUUAUUUGAAACUUGGAGUAUUUGGAAUUAAAUUCUGAAGAUUAGAGCUCCGGUGAUUAGAUUGAAAUUUGUUAAAGAAAAUGAGAGACGGACUUUAGGAAGUUGAACUGCGAGACCAUAGACUUUUGAAAGUUGAAUUUAUAAUAAUGAUAGUAAUAAGGAAUGAACUUUAAGAAAUUGAGAGUAUAGAUUUUUAAUAAUAAUAAUAGUAAUAAUAAAUGAACUUCAGGAAAUUGAAUUGCUAGAAUAUAGAUUUUUAAUAAUAAUAAGAAAUGAACUUUAGAAAAUUAAAUUGCGAGGAUACAAAUUUUUAAUAAUAACAAUAAUAAUAACGAUAUAGUAAUAUUAGGAAAUUGAACUGAGAGAGAGUAUAGAUUCUUAAUAAUAAUUAAUAAUAAAAAUAACAAUAUAGUAAUAUUAGGAAAUUGAACUGAGAGAGAGUAUAGAUUUUUAAUAAUAAUUAAUAAUAAAAAUAACAAUAAAUGAUAAUAGCGAUAAUAAUGUGGAUAAACAAAAGGGAUUAAAAGAGCUUUGGAAUUAGAAAGGCUUAGGGUGAUAACAAUAAUGACAAUGAUAAUAAUAAUAAUAACAAUAACAAUAAGGUUUUGAGAUAAUAAUAAUAAUAAUAAUGACAACAAGAUUUUGCAAGUUGAAUUAAUAAUAAUAAUAGGAAUAAUAUUUUAAAAGUCGAAUUAAUAAUAAUGAUAAUAACAAUAAUAUUUUGAGAGUUGAAUUAACAAGAACAAUAAUAAUAAUAUUUUAAAAGUUGAAUUAAUAAAAAUAAUAAUAAUAAUAUUUUAAAAGGUUGAAUUAUUAAUAAUAAUAAUAAUAAUAAUAAUAAUGAUAAGGUUUUGAAAGUUGAAUUAAUAAUAAUGAUAAUAAUAAUGUUUUAAAAGCUGAAUCAAUAAUAAUAAUAAUAAUAAUAGGUUUGGACUUCGAAAAUGGGCCUUGUAAUAAUAAUAAUAAUAUGGAUUUCAAAAAUGGGCCCGGGAGUGAUACCCAUGCAAUAAUAAUAGGGACUUUGAAAAUGGGCCUGGAAGAGAACAAACAAAAGGAACCAAUGGGCUUAAAAAUGGGUUAAAAGGGGUUUAGGAUCCAGGCCUUUAGGGAUGGACCUUGGGCUUUGAAAAGGGGUUAAAGUCUGGAAUGGGCCUUGGGCUUCACCUUCAUCAAGCCCAAGCCCACUUAGCAAAAAUCAUCAUCCUCAAGCCCAGUAGCUACCAUGAACACUCCCUGAACAGUGCUGUCACCAAGAGAAAAUUCAAGCUAUCCUUUCAUCACCUCUGCUACCCCAUCGUUGACGGCGCCGGCGGGGGUUUGGGCACCGUAGUCGUCGCUGUUUGGAUGAAACUGGAAUAUGACAGCAGAUUGGAGGGUGGUGACAGCAGUAGCAGCAGCUGCGGCCUCUUGGGCGUGCCGGAGGCGACCUUCGGUGCGCUGGUCGACGGAACGGGAGACGUCGGGAUUGCGAAAAGGUGCGAGGGAGGUUCGGAGCAGCCAUGCGUGGACAGGAAUGGGCAUCACGAGGGGAGCCGUGGCAGCGUCCAGAAGACGCCGCUGCCAUGGUGGCUGGUGCAAACGUCCGCGUAGCCGGAGCGAUUGAUGACAGUUAGUGGCGUGAUGAGUGGAUGGCUGCAAGUUCGGGGAGUGUGAAGAGUGAUGAUGACAUGCAUGUGUGAGGAUAGAUGAAGGAAGUGGGUUGGAGGAGUGGAGAAAACGAGUUUGAGAUGGCACGUGGUGUAGAGAGAGAAAGAUGAGUGUGAAGGUUAGCAAGAUGGGUAUGAAGAAGAAAUGGAGCUCGGGUCUUGGUGAUGGAUAUGUGGGUAAGAGGAUAUGGGGGUGUCCCUGUGCGUGGGACUUGGAGGAUGGGCUUGUUGGGUGUCAUGGAAGAACGAGUAUCAACAUGGAUACGUGCAUGGUUUCUCAUACCGCCAAGGCACAAAUCCAUGAUCUCCUUCAACUUCUGUAAUGGGCCAAUAUUCUUCACUUUUGCAAUCACGGCAAUGUAACCAAUGCUCCGAAGGUCCCUCUCCGCUUACAUCUAGCUCUUCUCUGGACUUUUGAGCCACAAACUAUCAACAAGAUAAACCCGAAACCACAGGUAUGACUCGGCUCGGUUCAUUUUAUUCCAACCCCAGAUCAAAUAACCCACCCAUCACAGUGAGGACAUAGGGAUGAAAGCAAGAACAUAGGUUUAGGAGGCUCAAACGAUUGUAAAGAGCCUCAUUUCAGGAGGCUCAAAACAUCCCCUGAAACCGGGUUAGUAUAGUGCAUGCACAGCAGAGUCAUACGAGCCCCAAACUUAAACCACAAGAAUGGUAAUAAAACCAACAACAACAAAGUAAGAAUAUGAUCUAGAAAACAAUGGAGUUCAAGGUAUAACCCUCGUCAUCCAUACCUAAAUCAACCAACGAGUACGAAGCAAACAAAACGGAAGGAGAUGAGGAGUAUAAAGAAGAAAAAAAACCAAAGUAAACAAGGAACUCACCUCAGGCUCGCCUGCAGCCAACUCCCUUUCUCUGUCCUCUCCUUCUUCCAGCCUUACCCUCCGAGUGCUUACCGUAACCUCCUCCCUUUUCUUUCUUUUUUAUUUCAUCCCUUGUUCAUAUCUUCUUUGGCAAGCCACUACUUGCCCUACUGUUCCUCGCAUCAGCAGCAUGGCCCUCCAAUUACCAGCAUGGCCCCUGCCAUCUUGACUUGCUGCACAUCCCAUCUCUCGUAGCUGCUUUCAUGCCGAAAUGGAGGUCCCCCCUCCUCACUAAAUCCCACUCCGGGAUCAUCCUUGAAAUGCCACCUUGCUUCAACUUAUAAAAAUAAUAAAAGAAGGCAAUAAUAAAAAUCAUGCCAUUGAACCAAUAUACUUGGUUUAAAACAGGGGUCUACACCCACUUUUUAAAGUUUUUUUUUAUAAAUUUUUAAAUCAAUAAAAAAUUAGGUCUAGUUAAUUAAAAUGUGAGUUAUUUUAAGAUGUACAUUUAUUUACACCGCUUUAUCUAGCAAAUUAAUCACUUUUAGAAUCCUUCUGACAAUAAUUUUAAAAAAGAACUAAUUACUUUUAGAUUCCAUCUUACAAUCAUUUUCAAAAACGCUUUUAACCUAAAAACGGUUGAAAAAUUAUUUGUAAUGUUUGAAAAUCAUUGGUUUUUUUUUUCGAGAAUAUUUGAUUGAUGAUUUUCUUAGAAUUACUUUUAUAAAACAUUAUGAUUAAAAGCGCUUGUAGUAAAAACGACUCACAGCAGGGAAAUGAAAGCAUUAACAAUGAUAAAUAUGAAAUGAACAAAAUCACUCUGAAAAAACAUUAAAAUUUCAGUACUGAACAAAGCCAAACAAAAUUACCCAAAAACGCUCAUCCCCAAUCUCCUCCAAAGUUCCAAACCACGACCACCAACCUCCUAAUCGUUUUUCCUCCUCUUCUUCUUGCUUUCCUGUUCCUCCCAGUGCUUCAUUCCUCCCUCUUCUUCCUCUCCCUCCUCUCCUCAAAUUCCAAACUACUCCUCUCCUCUCUCUCGUUCUUCUUGUGACCCUCAUUGUCUCGUUUAUGCGUGCGGCUGGAUUUUGAGCCUUUCAGCUCUCUGUGGAGUUGAGUUAACUCGUUGAACGCCUCCACAGUGCGGCCAAGGUAGGCGGCGACGGCCUGGGAGGCUCCGGUCUCGGCGGCCACGAAGGCUGUGAGAACUGAGGUUGCUUUCGAGAGAGAGAGAUUGGACCGGAAGACGUUACUCUUCCUGAACUCGUCUUCAUCUUUUAGGUUCGGUUAAAUUGCUUUUCAAAUUCUUUUCCUCCUCCUUUUCUUCUUUUUUGUUUUUGCUUCCUUCUUUGUUUUUUCCCACACUUUCUCAUCAACCAAACGCUAGAGUGGAACAAAGUUUCCCUUCAGGUUUUAAACUUCAAUACCCCCAAUCCAAGCCCACUACGGGAAUAUCAUCUAAACCCGAAU
rnacentral:lncRNA from 1 species